rnacentral:rRNA from 1 species
AACGAACGCUGGCGGCAGGCCUAACACAUGCAAGUCGAGCGAGGACUUCGGUUCUAGCGGCGGACGGGUGAGUAACGCGUGGGAAUGUGCCCUUCUCUACGGAAUAGCCCUGGGAAACUGGGAGUAAUACCGUAUACGCCCUUUUGGGGAAAGAUUUAUCGGAGAAGGAUCAGCCCGCGUUGGAUUAGGUAGUUGGUGGGGUAAUGGCCUACCAAGCCGACGAUCCAUAGCUGGUUGAGAGGAUGAUCAGCCACACUGGGACUGAGACACGGCCCAGACUCCUACGGGAGGCAGCAGUGGGGAAUCUUAGACAAUGGGGGCAACCCUGAUCUAGCCAUGCCGCGUGAGUGAUGAAGGCCUUAGGGUUGUAAAGCUCUUUCAGCUGGGAAGAUAAUGACGGUACCAGCAGAAGAAGCCCCGGCUAACUCCGUG